CACUGGGAGAACAUAACUCUCAGCAAUGCCUGCCCAGUGUGNUUAAAAAUCAUAAACGGCCGCCCUAGCGUGAGGGUGCUAAGGUAGCGAAAUUCCUUGCCUUUUAAUUGUAGGCCUGCAUGAAUGGCUUAACGAGGGCUUAACUGUCUCUGGUUUACAGGGUCUAAAUUGGAUUAAAGGUGAAGAUACCUUUAUAUAAAAGUCAGACAAGAAGACCCCGUGCAACUUUCAAAAUCGGUUUAUUGAGAAACUUUAAGAUUUUUAGGUGGGGCGCCUACUGAGUAAUACUAACCUCUGUGUAUGGAAAAAACUUUCAAGUAUAGACCCGGCAAUGCCGAUCAUAGGAGAAGUUACGCCGGGGAUAACAGGCUAAUUCACUAGUAGAGAACGUAUUGGCUAGUGGGAUUGGCACCUCGAUGUUGAAUCAGGGAUGAUACCUUUAAGGCGUAGAAGCUUUGAAAGUGGGUC
rnacentral:rRNA from 1 species